rnacentral:rRNA from 1 species
GCUUGCAGUCACACCACCUUAGGCUAUGAUUGCAUACAGCUAAGCAGGGCUGGGUCAGUACUUGGAUAAGGGAUUUACAGAAAGUCUGCUGCAGGAA